rnacentral:rRNA from 11 species
GCAUUGGAGGGAGCAAUACUAAAGGCACCUGAUCCUAUCUGAACUUGGAAGCUAAGCAGGGUCAGCUCUAGUUAGAAUUUGGAUGGGAGACUACUAAUAAUACCAGCUGCUAUAAGCU